rnacentral:rRNA from 1 species
AUACGGAGGAUCCGAGCGUUAUCCGGAUUUAUUGGGUUUAAAGGGUGCGCAGGCGGCCAUUUAAGUCAGCGGUUAAAUCGUGGGGCUCAACCCCAUUCUGCCGUUGAUACUGGGUGGCUUGAUUGCGGUCGAGGUUGGCGGAAUUCGUUGUGUAGCGGUGAAAUGCAUAGAUAUGACGAAGAACACCGAUUGCGUAGGCAGCUGACCAGACCGCAAAUGACGCUCAUGCACGAAAGUGCGGGGAUCGAACAGGAUUAGAUACCCUGGUAGUCCGCACAGUAAACGAUGAAUACUUGUUUUCGGCGAUAUAAUGUCGGAGGCAAAGCGAAAGCGAUAAGUAGUCCACCUGGGGAGUACGCCGGCAACGGUGAAACUCAAAGGAAUUGACGGGG